rnacentral:rRNA from 1 species
UACGUAGGGUGCAAGCGUUAAUCGGAAUUACUGGGCGUAAAGCGUGCGCAGGCGGUUAUGUAAGACAGGUGGGAAAUCCCCGGGCUUAACCUGGGAACUGCAUUUGUGACUGCAUAGCUAGAGUACGGUAGAGGGGGAUGGAAUUCCGCGUGUAGCAGUGAAAUGCGUAGAUAUCGGAAGGAACAUCAGUGGCGAAAGCGGCUUCCUGGACCAGUACCGACGUUCAGGCACGAAAGCGUGGGGAGCAAACAGG